GGAUCAGCUGAGAUGUUAUUUCACUGGAUUAUUUAAUGGAUAGGCUUAUUGGGCAUAUAUUUGGAUAUCUCUGUCAUCAACAUGGAAGAUAUGUUUUGUUCCUAACCAUCUAUAAUCCAUUCUCUAUGAAGUUCAGACUGUCUGCUCUUCCUUUGGAAACACACAGUUAGUCAACUUAACAUAAAAAAACAAAACAAACUUGAAGGAUUCUCUAGUGAGGGGUUAUGGAAAUGAUCUAUGUCUACUCUCAGAAUGGUGAAAGACUCUCAGAUUAUGCAAAGACUAACAGAAUAUCCUCUCUUGAAACACUGAAACAAGAAAAUCAAUCAGGAGUUGGAUGGGGGAUUUAAGAAGCACAUAGAUAAAUAUGAUUUCCAACGAAUUUAACCAGUACUAUCAAAGAUUGUGGUUUACAGGAUGACAAAGAAAGGACCCAGGAUUGUAUCUUUUACUGUUAGACACUGACUAUGGAUAAGAUGUAGCCAUUUAUCAAACUGAGAUCUAGUCAAAUCAAGUAUUGAAAACAUGAUUUUCUGAUAGCAUGAGCUCUUUAAAAAUCAAUUCUCACGAACUUCAAAGUAUCUAAAUGUGACUUUUAUUUUGACCAUUUCAUAUUGAAGACUGUUGUUAUGUAUGAGAAGUAUACAUUUAAACCUUUUAUUUUGCAUCUUAUUUCUAUAACCCCCUAGAAAUUACACAGAUAUCCAGAUGCUGGAUUUAAUGUUAUUAUUUAACUUUCCUGGAAUUGUAAAUAUAUUUUGUUUGUGUAUGUAUCAUGUUUAAUUUUGAAUUUAAAAUUGGUCUCAAUAAGACCCCCAAUAAAGAUGCAAGUGUUACAUAAUCUGUGGUUUAAUAAUAUCUUGAAUAUCUUUAUCAUACCAUAUUCAUCAUACUAAUUACAUAUAGAAUGGCUGUAGGAAUA